rnacentral:rRNA from 1 species
AGCGGAUUAGCGGCGGACGGGUGAGUAACACGUGAGUAACCUGCCUUAGGCAUUGGGAUAGCCUCGGGAAACCGGGAUUAAUACCAAAUAAAAUCAUAAUGACACAUGUCAUAACGAUCAAAACUCCGGUGGUCUAAGAUGGACUCGCGUCCCAUUAGCUAGUUGGUAGAGUAAAAGCCUACCAAGGCGACGAUGGGUAGCCGGCCUGAGAGGGUGAACGGCCACAUUGGAACUGAGAAACGGUCCAA